GAUGAACGCUGGCGGCGUGCCUAAUACAUGCCAGUCGAGCGAACAGACGAGGAGCUUGCUCCUCUGACGUUAGCGGCGGACGGGUGAGUAACACGUGGAUACCCUACCUAUAAGACUGGGAUAACUUCGGGAAACCGGAGCUAAUACCGGAUAAUAUAUUGAACCGCAUGGUUCAAUAGUGAAAGACGGUUUUGCUGUCACUUAUAGAUGGAUCCGCGCCGCAUUAGCUAGUUGGUAAGGUAACGGCUUACCAAGGCAACCAUGCGUAGCCGACCUGAGAGGGGGAUCGGCCACACUGGAACGGGGACACGGUCCAGACUCCUACGGGAGGCAGCAGUAGGGAACCUGCCGCAAUGGUCGAAAGCUUGACGGAGCAACGCCGCGUGAGUGGUGAAGGUCUUCGGAUCGUAAAGCUCUGUUAUUAGGGAAGAACAAAUGUGUAAGUAACUAUGCACGUCUUGACGGUACCUAAUCAGAAAGCCACGGCUAACUACGUG
rnacentral:rRNA from 1 species